CUUGACUGUAGCCUGGAAUUGGGUUUGGGCUCUUCUUGCGCAGCCUAGGUGGGAGGCGUUGACAGUUCCCUUCCGGGGGAGCUUGAGCCAUCAGUGAGAGACCACUCUGGAGGAGCUAGAAUUCUAAUGGCGAUCCUUGAAUCAGGACGCUUGACAGUUUCAGGCGGGCAGUUUGACUGGGGCGGUCGCCUCAUAAAAGGUAACUGAGGCGUGCAAAGGUUCCCUCAGGCUGGACGGAAAUCAGCCGUAGAGUGUAAAGGCAGAAGGGAGCUUGACUGCAAGACCUACAAGUCGAGCAGGGGCGAAAGCCGGCCUUAGUGAUCCGACGGUACCGUGUGGAAGGGCCGUCGCUCAACGGAUAAAAGUUA
rnacentral:rRNA from 1 species